rnacentral:lncRNA from 1 species
GUGGAAGAGGACAGAGUUAGUUUCCUGGGAUUUGGAAGGUGUGGUGAGCGCGAUGGCUUUUCACCCUAGCGCGGAUGAGACGCUGUCGAUACGGCAUGGAUUCAGGUGUGUUCCUGAGAAUGGAGUUAAAGUGGAGGAAGUUAGUCAGUGAACAGGUAGGAGCUGAAUUUAUACAUUCCGCUUCCAGAAUGAACAAAGCUGUGGUUGUGUUCAUGAAAAGAGCAAAUUUGGUUGGUAGGCUAAUUGCUAGUGGAAUAUUUGUAAGGGAUGUGUUGGUGCCAGUUUCACCUCUCUCUACCCCUUCGACAAGGGUGGUAGUUGCAAAUUUGCCUCCGUUUAUUACGGAUGAUCAAAUCAGGAAAGAGCUGAGUGGUUUUGGUAAGUUUGCUAGUGGGUUUCGUGUACUGUCGGCAGGUUUUCAGACAGAUGCCGUUAAGCACGUUGUUUCAUUCUGGAGGCAAGUGUUUAUGUUUCUGAACAACAAUGAGCAACAGCUAAAUGUGCAUUUUAAAGUGAGGCAUGGGGAGGGGCUCUAUGCAGGGUUUGCCAGCACAGAUAGUCUACGGUGUUUUGAGUGUGGGGAUUUGGGGCAUAAGAGCUUUGUGUGCCCACAUAAAGGGCAUAGACAAGGUGAGGGUACAAGCGCCCCCGGUGGGGGAAAUCGAGGUCAACGUGAAGGGGACAAUGAGACGCAGGUAGCAGAGGCUGGGCAUAGUCAUGCCAGUGAUGGUGGUGUAGAUGAGUCUGGGCCUAGUCAUGCCAUGGAUGGUGGUGUAGAUGAGGCUGGGUCUAGUCAUGCUAUGGAUGGCGGUGUAGAUGAGGCUGGGUCUAGUCAGGUGAUGGAUGGUGGUGUAGAUGAGGCUGGGUCUAGUCAUGCUACAGAUGGCGGUGUAGAUGAGGCUGGGUCUAGUCAGGCUAUAGAUGGUGGUGUAGAUGAGGCUGGGUCUAGUCAGGCUAGAGAUGGUGGUGUAGAUGAGGCUGGGUCUAGUCAGGUUAUGGAUGGUGGUGUAGAUGAGGCUGGGUCUAGUCAUGCUACAGAUGGUGGUGUAGAUGAGGCUGGGUCUAGUCAUGCCAUGGAUGGUGGUGUAGAUGAGGCUGGGUCUAGUCAUGCUACAGAUGGUGGUGUAGAUGAGGCUGGGUCUAGUCAUGCUAGAGAUGGUGGUGUAGAUGAGGCUGGGUUUAGUCAUGUUAUAGAUGGUGGUGUAGAUGAGGCUGGGUCUAGUCAUGCCAUGGAUGGUGGUGUAGAUGAUGCUGGGUCUAGUCAUGCUAGAGAUGGUGGUAUAGAUGAGGCUGGGUCUAGUCAGGUUAUAGAUGGUGGUGUAGAUGAGGCUGGGUCUAGUCAGGUUAUAGAUGGUGGUGUAGAUGAGGCUGGGUCUAGUCAGGUUAUGGAUGGUGGUGUAGAUGAGGCUGGGUCUAGUCAGGUUAUGGAUGGUGGUGUAGAUGAGACUGGGUCUAGUCAGGUUAUAGAUGGUGGUAUAGAUGAGGCUGGGUCUAGUCAGGUUAUAGAUGGUGGUGUAGAUGAUGCUGGGUCUAGUCAGGUUAUGGAUGGUGGUGUAGAUGAGGCUGGGUCUAGUCAGGUUAUGGAUGUAGUGUAGAUGAGGCUGGGUCUAGUCAGGUUAUAGAUGGUGGUGUAGAUGAUGCUGGGUCUAGUCAGGUUAUGCUAGUGGAUGAGGAGAGUAUAGUGGGGAAGUGUAAGAAACUAGGGGGGAGGAGGAGGGUGUCAAGAGAAAAAGGGUGUGGUCAAAGGCACCAUGGAACCUUUGCCUGGUGCUGGGGGAGGCCCUGACUAGAGAGGAAGGGCAGGUGGUCAGGAUUGGAGAUGGAGAUGAGGAGGAGGAAAGUGAGUCUGAGGAAGAGGAUGAUGAGGAGGCCUUUUCUUCAGACUCCUCUUCAAUGGGUCCGGAGCUGACAGCCAGUCAAGCAGAGGGGUCAAAGUAUACGGUGAGAGAACUGACAAGGUUCCUGAAUGAGACCAAGGUGGAAAAAGUUAAUCUUGAGGAUUUUUUUUCUGAUCCGAGAAAGUUUGUAAGAUCAGUACAACAUGCUAUGACAAAUGAGGGGCAUGGUGUCCUCUCACCCAGGAAACGGUUUAGGUUGAGGAAGUGGGUCACAACAGUGCGUAAGGGUCUACCUUCAGACACUGUUUAGAUGUAUAGCUUCUUUCUGGCAAUGUGGUUUUUUGAGCUUUGCUAUUGGUCUCUUUCUUUGCUGGCUUUUCUCCCACUUCUUAUGGAGACUCUUCGGGUAGGAUCGCUCAAUAUAAAUGGCGCCAGAGAUGCGGGAAAGAGGAGCGUGCUGGGUGAAUAUGUGAAACCAAAAAAAAGUACAGGUAUUGUUUCUGCAGGAGACGCAUAGUGAUAUGGUGAAUGAAGUCGAUUGGGGGCUCUGGUGGAAAGGGGCAAGUGUGUUGAGCCAUGGGACAAAUCUUAGUGCAGGGGUGGCAGUCCUUUUUGUACCGGGUCUAUCUGUAAAAAUUUGCUCCUCAAAAUUGGGGUGUAGGGUAGGCUGGUUGUUGUAAAAGCAGAAAUUAACAACAGGUGUUUUGUCCUUAUAAAUGUGUAUGCCCCUAACACAGGGAGAGAGAUGGUGCUUCUGUUUGGGUGUCUUAGACAGGAACACUCUAAUUUUUGGUGACUUUAAUAUUCACAUGAAAGUCCACAGACCCACUCCAAAAGGCUUGCGGAGCCAUCAUCGACUCAGUGGGUUUUGUCCAACAUGUCUCUGGACCUACUCACUGCCACAGUGGAUCUUAAUGUUUUUCCUCAUAAUCCUGGACUAUCGGACCACCAUUUUAUUACGUUUGCAAUCGCAACAAAUAAUCUGCUCAGACCCCAACCAAGGAGCAUCAAAAGUCGUGCUAUAAAUUCUCAG